rnacentral:rRNA from 1 species
GCAAAUCCGCUGAACUUAAGCAUAUUAUUAAGCGGAAGAAAAGAAAAUAACAAUGAUUCUUUUAGUAACGGCGAGUGAACAAAGAAGAGCUCAACAUGGAAAAUCCGACAGAGAGCUACCCGUGAUUUGUCGGAAUUGUCAAGUUACAAAACAUUCCACGAGAUCUUUUUUAUAAUAUGACAAUGAGAAGAAGUAGAUAGAAAUAUCUUUCCAUAGAGGGUGAAAGACCCGUAUUCUUAAUCAUAAAACUGGUCUAUUGGAAUGUUUUGUUUUGAGUCAUGUUCUUUGAGAUUGGAACAUUAAUGAGUGUGAUACAUUUCACAUAAAGCUAAAUAUUUGUAAGAAACCGAUAGUAAACAAGUACCGUGAGGGAAAGAUGAAAUAGUACUCAUGAAUGAGCAAUUAAAUAGUACCUGAAAUCGUUAAGAUGGAACGGAUUAAAAAAGGAAAAAAGUAACAACAUAAAUAUAUGAAAAGAUUUUGAUGCGCGCAAUAAAGAAUGGAGUCUUGAAAAGGAUGUUGAUAUUCAAGUAUCAGAACAAAAAUUUUUCUUUAUAUAAAAAGAAUUUUUUUGAAGCUCUUGUUAUAAAAUCCAUUUUUAUUCUUAUCCUUUUUUUUUUGGGUAAGAUAAAAAGGUUACAAGAGUUGUCUUUCAUAAAAUUUUAUGUUCUUAUUAAAAGAAACAUGAGUGAAUGAAAAUAAAUAAUCGUAAAGCAAAAUGACAGUAAAAGGGGGAAACAAAAAAUAAAUUAAAAUAAAAUAAGAAUAAAGCAAGAAGGUAUAAAAUAAAAGAAUUAAUUGAAUUUAUUUUCUUUUAAUUUUUUUGUUUUGUAUUGUAUUGUUUUAUUUUAUUUUUAUUUUAUUUAUUUUUUUUUUUUUCCUUAUUGACUCUUUUUCUAAGCUAAUGUGGAAAAAUAUAACUUGCUUUUUUUUUUUUUUUUUCUUUUAUGAAGGGGGGAAAAAAGAAAAAUAUAUAAGAUACAUUUAUUUAAUUUACUGAGGUAUUGUGAAAAUUAUAUUGUGCAUAUUUUGAAUAAUAUAAAUUUAAGAUGUUUUUAUAAAGUACUUUUUUAACCCACUCGUCUUGAAACACGGACCAAGGAGUCUAACAAAUGUGCAAGUGUAUAUGUUAAGAAUAAACAUAUUAUAAAACUUUAUACGCAUAAUUAAUGUAACAUAUAUAUAAUAUAUGUAUUAUAUUAUAUUUGUAGAUUUGUUGGGAAUAUUAUAAUUCGCAGUAAUGCAUACAAUACCGAUAAGCAAUUUAAUAUUUUAAGUUUAUUUGAGUAAGAGCAUACUUGUUAGGACCCGAGAGGCUUUGAACUAAACGUGAUGAGAUUGAAGUCAGAUGAAAAUCUGAUGGAGGAUCGAGUUGAUACUGACGUGCAAAUCGUUCACUUCAAUUGCGUUUAGGGGCGAAAGACUAAUCGAAAAGCCUAUUAGCUGGUUAUUUUCGAAAGAUCUCUUAGGAUCGCUGGAGUUGAUUUAAAUAUAGUUUUACCUGGUAGAAAUAAUGAUUAUGGGUUUCAAGGAAAUGAUAAUUCCUUGACUUAUAUAUCCAAGUAAUUCAAUAGGUAAAAAAAUGGUGAAAUAACUUUAUUGUAUUUCUCUCAUAUUUUAAAUAAGAUAACUCCAAGUUGGCCAUUUUUGGUAAGCAGAACUGGCGAUGAGGGAUGCUCCUAACGCUUGGAUAAGGUGCCUAAAUAUUCGCUCAUUAGAUACCAUUAUAAAGGUGUUGGUUUGUAAUUACAGUAGGACGGUAGUCAUAGAAGCUGAAAUCCGCUAAGAAAUGUGUAACAACUUACCUACCGAAUGAACUCGCCCUGAAAAUGGAUGGCGCUAAAGCGGAUUACCGAUACCAAGCCAUAAAAAAGAAAAAAGAAAAAAAAAAAAUUCAAUAUUUUUUUUUUUUUUUUUUUUAGAUACUUUUUAUGAGUAGAAAAUCGUGGGGUUUUGUGCUGAAGCGAAAUACGUGAGUUUUCGUGGAACAUCUCCCUAGUGCAGAUCUUGGUGGAAGUAGCAAAUAUUCAAAUGAAAACUUUGAAGACUGAAGUGGAGAAGGGUUUUUUGUCAACUAUGUUUGAGCAAAAGUUAGCCGUUCCUAAGAGAUAGCUAAAAAGCGUUAUAAAUUGAGGUUGACCUAUUAUAUGAAAAGUAUAAUAGUGUUUUUUCUCUUCUCAAAAGGGAAGCAGGUUUAUAUUCCUGCGCCAGAAGUAAUAAGAACUAAUAAAUAGAGAUGGUAACAUAUAUAUAAAAAUGAACUCCUUAACAUAGGUCUUACGCUUGGAGUGCGUUAUCUUUGCACUUUAACCUUAUAUCAAACCUUGGAAUUCAAUUUACUUGUAGAAAAGGUUGGAUGAAUUUACAAUAAACAAAUUAUUUAUUAUAUGCGUGGACCGGUACACAUGAUAUAUAAAUUUUUUUGUUUUGUAGAAAUAGUAAUUCUUUUUGUUGUAUGAAUUAUCCAAAGUGGUAAGGACUAUCCAUGAAAAAAGGAGGG